CGGGACGUAGCGCAGCCUGGUAGCGCACCUGAAUGGGGUUCAGGGGGUCGCGAGUUCGAAUCUCGCCGUCCCGA
rnacentral:tRNA from 1 species